GCAGGUUUCCGGAUUAGCUGCCUUGACCGGCGAAAGUUUGGAGGAAAAGCAGUAGCUGGUGUCUGGGCGCAGCCUCCUGCGAGCCCAGAGAAGGGGCAGCAGAUGGCUUAACUACAUGUGAAAAGACACAGAUUACUGGUCACAUACAUCCAAAGCAGUGGCUGAAUGAGUGCCAAGUGCCCAGGAGCCUUCCCAGGCUGGCUUCACAGACGGACUUUACUGCGGGGAGACAAGUUAAACCCAGUCCCCAGUGCCUCAAGUUCCGCAGUGUGUUUUCCCACGUGUUGGUGAAUCGGUGGUGCAAGAAGUGAAUAGGAAGACCCAACCGCCUGCUUCGCUUUGCCCGCAGCGUACUUUGGAAACAGUGCUGUGCCAAUCCGAGUGACUUCGGUUCUGCGCUACAAGAGACGCAGCAUCAUUCAGCCAGGUGAGCCCCAGCACGGCACCAGCGUCAUCUUCAUUGCAAGCGGUAAUGUAAGCAAGAGCCAAAAGCUUGGCUUGGGGUAUUGCUGAAGCAGCGGGUGGACGUGAAGCUGUGAUGUGCGAGGUCUGGCUGAGCCUGCGCCUGAACCUGCUCAGACUCCGGCCCCGCAGCAGCCUGUGUGCUCAAGCUUUGCCUCUAUCCUGGCUCCCUCUCUCCCAGAGCAGAGCUGCUUGGCUUGUGCGUUUAUAAGAAUUCCCUUUUCUGACUGGUUCCCUAAUGUUCAGGCUGAAGACGCCGUCAGUCUGUGUGCCAGCAAACCGGCCAUCAGUCACCCAGCCAGGCAGACAGCAAAGAGCAGAAAGUCAGUGUUGUUACUGAAAACUAAGCUUUUUGGCUGCGCUUAUUUAUAGCAGCUUGGUACGUGUGCCUGUGUGUUUCUCCACGUGACAACAGGCAUCGUCCCCAACCACUACUGGCUCUGGAUGUGAUAACCUCCAUUCUCUCGGUCGUAACUGGAUUUUUUGGGCUGUCUAGAAAUACAUCGCUCAACUGUCUUACCUGUGAAGUGCCACUGGGUGACUGGAGCGAGCGCUUUGCCCUUCGGGGGUAAAGCACCCGCGUUCCUUCUCCCUGCGGGCACUUGCUCCAAGGGGCACCCAGGGCAGAAACUCGCUGGGCUCUUUGUGCUCAGCCCCACAGCGGAGCUGGGCUCCCCCCAAAACCCCGUCCCUGCUCUGCUCCAGGCGCUCUGCAACGCUGCUCGCAAUUUAUGUGCGAUCAGAUGGCUGUUGGGAGACCUCGGCUGUCUUCAAGUCUGGGUCGGGGCUGAGCAAAGCUCAGGAACAGAAAGCAUUUUAAACCCAUGUUUCGCAGGAGGCUUGAUCCGAGCUCCGCUUAGAGCAGCCCCUGCCAGCACUAGCGCGGCGGUUAUUUGGUCAGCGCUGAACCUCCGUUCAUCACUCGGUUCAGAUGGAGGCCACAAAGCAAGGGGGAGGCGGAUAUUUCCAGAACAAACCUAGGUUUUGGUUACACACGCAUGUCUCAGCGUCUGUUCUGCUGGCAGGCGGGAGCCCCACCCCGGGGAUUUGUGCUCAGCCUUUGGGAAGAGAGUGAGGAAAAUGAUUUAAAAUGCCUUCAGAUGCCUUUUCACUUCUUUUUAUUUAAUUCCAUAAAUAUUUUCAUAAGGCUCAGUGUCUUUACAACACUUUUUAAACACUUUUUCUGUUUGUUUUAUACACACAACUUUGACACUUGUUUGACAGGGUCAAACAGUUCGAUAUAAACAAAAUAAUAAAACUGGCAAGUGCGGAUCAGCUGGGUUACCAAAA